AUGCUCCUUCUGAAGACUAAGCCAUGCAUGCCUUCGAAUAAGAAGUUUGCAAUUUCCGAAUCUGCGAACGGCUCCGCACACCAGUUGUUGACUAACGCAGGAAAGCCUCGGGUGAAAGGUGCUUAAUUGCGCCCUAACCCUUGGCUGCCAUGGAUAAUCGCGGUAAUUCUGAGACUAAUACAAGAACGUAACACCCUUCGAACCGAGCAAUUGGGACGUUGGGRGUCGUGUGAGCUGAGGCCGACUAAAAUGAUAUGGGAUGAAUACGCGCACGAUCGUACCGCCAUAAAAAACGAUCUUGGUUCUACGCUUAGUAUCGCAAGAGAAACGCUAGUCCUCGUUCGGGCGGUACCAGUAAUGUGCUUCUGACCUAUCAACUAGACUGCGUUUCCAUGGACUGCAAUGGUCACAACGGGUACAGAGGAUAAGGGUUCGAUCCUGGAGAGUGGGCCUGAGAGAUUGCUCAUACUUCUAAGGAAGGCAGCAGGCGCGCAAAGUUCCCAAUGGGCAAAGCCCGAGGGCGUGAAGGGACAUAUGAAUACCUGCCUAUGGUGGGUAAUUCAAAUGGGACUGUUUUAAACACCCUA
rnacentral:rRNA from 1 species